GGCGCACGGUGGAUGCCUUGGCACUAGAAGCCGAUGAAGGACGUUACUAACGACGAUAUGCUUUGGGGAGCUGUAAGUAAGCUUUGAUCCAGAGAUUUCCGAAUGGGGAAACCCAGCAUGAGUUAUGUCAUGUUAUCGAUAUGUGAAUACAUAGCAUAUCAGAAGGCACACCCGGAGAACUGAAACAUCUUAGUACCCGGAGGAAGAGAAAGAAAAUUCGAUUCCCUUAGUAGCGGCGAGCGAAACGGGAAGAGCCCAAACCAACAAGCUUGCUUGUUGGGGUUGUAGGACACUCUAUACGGAGUUACAAAGGACGACAUUAGACGAAUCAUCUGGAAAGAUGAAUCAAAGAAGGUAAUAAUCCUGUAGUCGAAAAUGUUGUCUCUCUUGAGUGGAUCCUGAGUACGACGGAGCACGUGAAAUUCCGUCGGAAUCUGGGAGGACCAUCUCCUAAGGCUAAAUACUCUCUAGUGACCGAUAGUGAACCAGUACCGUGAGGGAAAGGUGAAAAGCACCCCGGAAGGGGAGUGAAAUAGAACCUGAAACCGUG
rnacentral:rRNA from 1 species